rnacentral:sRNA from 1 species
CCUAGUUCAGCAGCUGUGUACAGUGAGCCCCUGUAAGGAUUUUUACAUGGCGAUUUCCAAGCACCAUCUGCACGGAGUCAUUCCAGUUUUUGGACAGAAUGCAGGCUGCCGGCAAGUUGGACCAGCCUGAUCGUUUCUCUUUCAAAGACCAGGAUAAUAACGAGCCCACAAAUGACAUGGUGGCCUUUUCAUUAGACGGCCCUGGAGGAAAUUGUGUGGCCAUCCUGACCCUCUUCUCUCUGGGCCUCAUUUCCGUGGAUGUCAGGAUCCCGGAGCAGAUCAUCGUGGUAGACAGCUCAAUGGUGGAGAAUGAGGUCAUCAAAAGCUUGGGGAAGGACGGCAGCCUGGAAGAUGACGAGGAUGAAGAGGAUGACUUGGACGAAGGCAUAGGGGGCAAGCGCCGGAGCAUGGAGGUGAAACCUGCGCAGGCCUCCCACACCAACUACCUGCUGAUGAGGGGUUACUACUCCCCCG